UACGAAGGGAGCUAGCGUUGUUCGGAAUCACUGGGCGUAAAGCGCACGUAGGCGGAUUUGUCAGUCAGGGGUGAAAUCCCGGGGCUCAACCUCGGAACUGCCUUUGAUACAGCAAGUCUUGAGUUCGAGAGAGGUGGGUGGAAUUCCUAGUGUAGAGGUGAAAUUCGUAGAUAUUAGGAAGAACACCGGUGGCGAAGGCGGCUCACUGGCUCGAUACUGACGCUGAGGUGCGAAAGCGUGGGGAGCAAACAGG
rnacentral:rRNA from 1 species